rnacentral:misc_RNA from 1 species
GAUGAAGAACGCAGCGAAAUGCGAUAAGUAGUGUGAAUUGCAGAAUUCAGUGAAUCAUCGAAUCUUUGAACGCACAUUGCGCCCCUUGGUAUUCCAUGGGGCAUGCCUGUUCGAGCGUCAUUUGUACCCUCAAGCUUUGCUUGGUGUUGGGCGUCUUGUCUUGUAUUAGACUCGCCUUAAAGUCAUUGGCAGCCAGUGUUUUUGGUAGUAAGCGCAGCACAUUUUGCGUCUUAGUCCUUGAAUCGUGGCAUCCAUGAAGCCUUUUUUCACUUUUGACCUCGGAUCAGGUAGGGAUACCCGCUGAACUUAAGCAUAUCAAUAAGCGGGAGGA